rnacentral:lncRNA from 1 species
CGCAGACGCUGGAAUGAACACCAGAUGGGGAGGUUGGUGUGAGAUUUUUGCCACUGACUCUGUCCCAUCCCAGUUGUCCCAAAUGAGAGGCCUGUGGGUCUGCCAGAGGAGAGUUCUGUAUGGUCCAAAGGCUUGGGGGAAUCUGUUCCCUGUCUUUCUACAAAGAUGCUGGUCACAGCCCAUCCCUGCCAAAGGCUGCCCCGGGAUACAUAUGGUUUCCGUCAGGUUUGCUGAUUCCCUAGGGGACUCUCAGGACCUAGCAAGGCUGUUGUCCUCACAGAUACGGUUUGUACAGCAAAAGGAAACAGAUUAAUAGGAAUGAGUCAGCAUCCUGACUGGCGACCCCUAAUGGCCCACGCUCGCACUACAGCCACUUCCCCAAGGCAACUUUGAAAUCUGCCUGGGGAUGAAUGACAAAGGAGUCCACGACCAGAGCAACUAAUCGGAUGGUGCCAGCUACAGGGAGUGAGAUGCCCUGGACCAAUGGGGCACGGACAGAGCGUAUAAAGGCACACCCGAUCCCGCAAUAAACGAGUCUGCUUCCGCUUUGC